rfam:Salmo salar isolate Sally breed double haploid chromosome ssa15, whole genome shotgun sequence.
UACAUUAGCUACUGUAAGUCGCUUUGGAUAAGAGCGUCUGCUAAAUGACUAAAA